UCCAUCCCUGCACAUCAUGGCGGAACCUAAACAACUCUCUUAACUGCUAAAAGCGCAUUAGGAAUUCAGAGAUGAGUCACAGUGUUCUGGAGGCGCUAUUCUUGUGGAUUAAAUUAUUAGGUCAUGAUCUUAAUUUAUUGCUUGUAAAUCAUAAAUCAGUAUAAGAGAAGUACAGGAAACAAGGCCAAGGAGAGGCACUGCUACGUGCAGCAAUUGAGAAAUGCAUAGCUAGAGAUGUCCACUGAAUAUCACUUCAAGUAGACCUGUCAAGAACUGCUGCCUUGAAUCUUCACAAGUACUUUGGCUUCCAAGUUGAUAGUCUUGUGGAACGACACUACUCUUGUGGAACAUAAUCGUAAGACUAAAUUUUUAGCAAAACAAAAUUAAUCAUGAGAAAAAUAUAAGAUGCAUCAAUGGGGAAGAAACACAUAAUAAACAAAAAAAUAGUAAACAAUACACACCUUGGAUCAUAAACAUCAACAAACAUCAACAAAUGCGACAAGUUCAAUCCUGUCAUCAGGACAAUAAGAGCUUUUUAGCUCUGUUUAGCAUAUCAUACAGAACAAAUAUAAUGUGACAAGAAUAAUACAACAAUCUAGGAGAUCUCAGUACCAUGAUUGAAUAAAUGUGACAACUGUCUGUGGCAUAUCAUGCAGAACAGAGAUGAUGUAACAAGAAUAAUACAACAAUCUAGGAGAUCUCAGUACCAUGAUUGUAUAACUGUAAGAACAGAAGAGUUCUGAUCAAUGAAAACUCAUUCUACAAAAUGAAUAAAUUGCAAUCGAACCAGAGGAUCAACAGAUGCUUGCUGCUCUUCAAGCACAUUAUGUGCACUGCCAGCUGAAAAGUGAGUGAACAGAAGUAACUGAAUAUAGAUUUAACACUUAAAGUGUAGUAGCAGUCAUCAAUACCAAAUAUAAUCAUUGUCAUGCAAAUAUUAGCUACUUAACAAAAGGAAGCAACAACAUAAAGAUAGAACAGUUGUUAACAUAGACCAGACAUCAAGACACUGAACUCAGACUUGAUAACCCCCAUAGAGACAGAGGACAAGGUGAAGAGAAGACACCUUCGGGAUAUUAUAGCCUGCCAAAAUUCUUCCAUGCUCCAACUGCUUCCCAGCAAAAAUAAGCCUCUGCUGAUCUGGAGGGAUCCCCUCCUCCUGAAUCUAUGCCUUCACAUUAUCAAUGGUAUCUGAGCUCUAAACCUUAAGUGUAAUCGUCUUUACAAAAAUUUGCAUUCCACCACGAAGAUGAAGAACCAAGUGAAGUGUUGACUCCUUUUGGAUGUUGAAAUCCGUUAGUGUACGACCAUCCUCAUGCUGCUUACCUGCAAAUAUCAAUCUCUACUGGUCUAGGGGAAUACCUUCCUUAUCUUGGAUCUUAGCCUUGACUUGAUAGUGUCGGAGCUCUCAACCUCCAACAUAAUGGUCUUACCGGUAAGGGUUUUCACAAAAAUUUGCAUUCCACCACCGAGUCAAAGAAGAUGGCCAUCCUCAAGCUGUUUAGCCGCAAAUAUCAGCCUCUGCUGGUCCAGGGAUCCCUUUCAUUAUCCUUAACAUUAUCAUUUAUGUCUGAUUGUCCGAUUUCUCAACCUCGAGAGUAAUAGUCUUGCUUGUCAGAGUCUUAACAAAGAUCUGCAUCCCUCUUCUAAGCCGAAGAACCCAAAUGUAGAGUCGAUUCCUUCUAAAUAUCAUAAUCAAGCGAAGGUUCAUCGAUCCUCCAGCUGUUUCCCAGCAAAGAUCAACCUCUGCUGAUACUGAGAGAUCAGCUCCUUUUCCUAUAGACUUAGCAUCAUCCGUCGUACAGAACUUUCGACCUCGAGAGUAAUAGCAUUGCCACUAAGCCUUUUUAACAAAAUUUUGCAUCUGUACAAUUAGCGAACAACAAUCAGAAACCACAUAAACAUAUAACACAUAGAUAUCAAUCCCGAAAAAAUCGGAUCAGAUCAAAACACUAAAACGUAACGCGAAACAAAACAGUAACACUAUAACACAAUAAUUGGUAUUGGUAGAGCGACAAUAUUUAAUGAGAAACGAUUAUAUCAAUUUGAAGCGUAAAACCCUGCAUGAUACGAUUACAAGAAAUAAACCCUCGAAAAAAUAUCAAAAUAAAAAUGAAACUAUAUAUAACCACAUACAAAUCGAAACUAAGCUGUAAAUUAUAAAUUAGAUUAAAUUAGAUUAAGGGGCAUACUUGAUUUGUGAAGUGUGGAGACCAGAGAGUAAUUGAAGAAGCGAAUUUGGGACGAUGCAAUAAUUUGCAUGGUUAUAUAUAGGGUUUGCUUUUGCUUACCAGUAACGCUACGCGCCUCGCGUUACACGCGGCUUUUUUGGGUGGCUUAGCUGUAACGCUACGUUUUCACGUGUUACAUACAGGUCCACGCGUUAAGCAGACGCACGAUAAACAUGCGUUAUUGCCCCCUGUCUUCGAAGUAUUUUUGUUAUUUUAAAUAAAUAUUUAUUAGUUUAUAAGAAAAAAACUAAUGCAACAAAUUGAAAUAAUUGAAUUAUGAUAUUAUUCGAAAUCAAUCAGGUUUUAGUAUUAAUGUGUCGCACAUGAUUGAUAUUACAUGUCAUAUUUAUUUAACAUCAUUAUUUAACUAUUUGAUAUAUAAAACCACUUUUUAUAUAUUAUUUAAUAUUUAACAUUAUAUAUUUCAUAUAUAUUGGAAUUAUAUGACAAUACAUCGCGGGGUGUACAAAUGUGUCAUUAACCUUUUAUGUUAAAUUAAAAAUACAGCGUAGAGUGUACUUUACGGUGUACUUUUUUAAUAUUGUAUAUCUAAAUAUAUUAAUUAAUUAUUUUUUAACGGAAAGAGAUAAUUCAAUAAAUAACAGCAACAAACAUAUAAUUGAUUAACACGCAUGUCUUCAAAAAACUCUCACUAGGGAGGGAAAUCAAACUAUAAUUAUAACAAACGAGAGAGAAUCCAACUACAAACUAAAACGAUUAGAUAUGCACCGUGAACCUAUACUAAAAGAUAAUCGAUCCAUUCACAAAUCCAAAAAACCCUCUGCAAGUGAAUAAGAACGAAAAUCGAAAAAUUCGCUUAUAUAGAUCUAAGAAAACUUUGCCCAAAGAGGGAGAUUUAUUAAGAAAAUCAAUAAAACAAUCAAGAAAAACCAAAAAACAAGGAAUUAAACAGAAAGAUUUGGGACUUUCUGCAGGAAAACCGGUGGAAGUCCCGUCGGAAUGAGAAAAGAGGGAGGAUGCGGCGAGAGAGAAGAGAGAAAAAAAACUAGGGUUUUGUGGCUAUAUUAAUUAAUUUAAUUAAUUAUCAAAAUACAAAUACAAUAUAUUAUCUUAUUUUAUUUUAAUGUUAUUAACCUUAGAGACUAUUAAAAUAAUAAUAAAUUAUUAAAAAUUAUAAUAAAAAAUACCAGACACAGGACGAGUUUUAAACUACGAAAGUCUAUAUAGUAUACACUAUACAGGGUUUGCUUUUGCGUACCGGUAACGCUACGCGGUAUUUACGCACGUUUUUUUUGUUGUUGGCUUAGCUGUAACGCGAGGUACUCACGCGUCACAACUUGCAUACAGUCUCUUCGCGUUAAGCUUACGCACGAUGCACAGGCGUUAUUCCCCUGUCCUCGAAUAAUUUCUACUAUUUUUAAUAAUUAAUUAUUAGUUUAUAAGAUAAAAACAAUGCAAAAAUCGAAAGAAAAUGAAUUACGCUAUUUCCUCACCCAUCGAAAGCUGAAACGGUACUCUAUAGUCUAUCCCGCCUUGAACGUAAACGUGGGAAUGAGAUUCCCACAUAAAUUCAUUAAAUUAAUUUUUGACUUAAAAAAUUAUAAUAUAUUUUCAAUGAUAUAAUUAAAAUUAAAAUUAUUUAAUAAAUUAGAUAUUAUAUUAUUUUUAUUUUUAAAUAAUAAUUUAGAUAUCAAUUCAAAUUUAUAUUUAAUUAUAGUAAAAUAAAUAUAAAACUAGAUUUGUAAUAAUUAUUUUGCAUAACUUAAUGCGGAAACAUUUUAUCAAUAAAAUAUAGAAAAUAUAUUCAGUAUUGUUAUUUAUAUAUUACUAGUAUAUAUAUAUAUAUAUAUAUAUAUAUAUAUAUAUAAUAUAAACAUAAUUUUUAUAUUACAUAUAACAAUUAUUUUUUUAAAAAAAGAAGACGCCAAUCCCCGACUCAUCUCCAAACUUUUUUAUAAUUUUUCUCCCAGGUGUAUUAAAAAUUGGACGAUUCAAAGUCAAGCAUCAAAGAACAACAUUAUUAAAAUAUUCCGAAACAAACCAAACAACAAAUAGCAACCGUGUUAAAACAUCGGAAACAAACCAAAGAACUAAGAGCAAGAGCAUUAGAUGGAUAAAGACAAUAACACUAUGUACUGCCUAGUUUAGCAUAUAUCUAUGAUGCCUGCAGUAACAACAAUAAUAAUGGCAAAAACAUAAGAAAGAAAGUUUGUAAUUAAUGUACAAAGAUAGAUCAUAAGUAGUAAAAUAGAAGUAAAGCAGUGAUUAGUGACUAGUUUACAUGUUGAAGAAACACACCUUAAACAAUAGCUUCUCUAGGGAUCCUUCAAAUUCUAUAAGAACAAUGUCCUUGUAUAAUGUUUCUAUAAUGACACUGUAGAUCUGACUGGAAAGUCAAAUUGUUUCCACUUUGGUAAGUUGUUCAUGCAAAAUAAUUAUUUAUGGAAGUGAAUCGUUAUUACAGACGAUCUACUAAUCUACUAGAAUUUCUUAUAAUCAUAUACAAGUGCUGAAGUGUUAAAUCUACCUGGACAUUACCUUCUAUUCCUUGUGUUAGAAUAUGCUUGUUCUUUCGCUGUUCAUUCAUAUGCAUGUUUCCUUCCCCAGAACAUUAUAUGCCCAUCUGUAUCUUUUGAAACAAAGAACUAAAUGCCUUCUGUACUUCGAAUCUGCAAAAUUACAAACAAAACACUAUGAAAUCUGGUUAAACCAUAGUAAGAGAUUUUCUUCAGACAAAGUUAUAAUAUACAAAAACUUCUAUCAAGAAACAUUAACUGAUAGAACAGGUGAACACCCCUUCAAGCCUUCUAGGCAAGAUAUCUAAAAUGCAAUCCACAAAUCUCUGCAUCAACAUUAUUUUCGACAAUACAUGUGACUGAAGGAUAAAAAACCAUCGACUAGUCAAGAGGAUUAGCAAAUUUGACAAGUACAAUCCCGACAUCAGGGCAAUAGAAGCUUUCAACUCUGUUUAGUCAUGCAGAACGAAGAUAAUGAACUAAGAAUAACACAAAGGUGUGAGAAUUGAGAAAUUUCAGUACCCUAAUUGUUUAACUGUAAGAACAGAAGUAUUUAGAUUAAUAAAAACUCAUUCUGCAUAAUGAAGAAAUUAUGUAGAUAACAGAUGAUUGCUGCUUAUUUAAUAUAUAUCAGCUAGUGGUCUAACACAUUAUGUACACUGCUAAUUAAACAGUCAGAGAAUAGAUUUAACUGAACAUAAAUUUAUCACUUAGAAUAGUUGUGGUACACUCCAUUAAAACAAAAUAUAAUCAUUGUCAUGCAAAUAUUAGUUCACUUGACAAAAGGAGAAAACAACAGAAAGAUUGAACAUUUGUUAAUACAGACCAGAGAUCAAGACCCUGAACUUAAACUUGAUAACCACCACGAAGAAGGGGACGAGGUGAAGAGUAGAGUCCUUCUGGAUAUUAUAGUCUGCCAAAGUUCUUCCAUCCUCCAACUGCUUCCCAGCAAAAAUAAGCCUUCGCUGAUCUGGAGGGAUCUCCUCCUUAUCCUGACUCUUUGCCAUCACAUUAUCAAUGGUACAAAAAUUUGCUUACGCAUUUAAAAUUAACAUGCUUAUGCAAGCCGGUCUCAAGUACAUACCUUACAAUUUAACCUUUCGAUAUUUCUCCUAUGCGGGUAUCAGCACCUCAUAAAACAUUCUUGUUGGUGGUUAUUAGAGCUCUGUGUGUUUAAGUAGAUAGGCAAGAUAGCAAGGCCCUUUCUUUUUUAUUUGGAAGCUAGAUUGUGUAAAUCAACCCAACACUAUUUGUCACAGAACAUUCAAGUUAUCUAGAAAAUAACCUCAUCUGUAUAUGCUUAUAUAUGCACACAGACUUCAUAUAUCUUCUAUUUCAAGUGGUAAAAUUUUUAGGCUGGCUUGUAAUUUCUUCUUUGUAAAUGUGUUGAACCACAAUGUUAGGCAUAUAAGUAGGCAAGGUAAGGAAAGUGGUUACAGACUAACAGGUAAUUGUACCGUUGGUCCAUCCCUGCACAUUAUGGCGGAACCUAAACAACUUCUUAACUACUAGAAGCGCAUUAGGAAGUCAUAUAUAUAGAUGACCUAAACAACUUCUUAACUGCUAAAAGCACAUUAGGAAGUCAUAUAGAUGAGUCAUAGUGUUCUGGAUGCGCUAUUCUUGUGGAUUGAAUUAUUAGGUAACGAUCUUAUUUUAUUGCUUGUAAAUCAUAAAUCGGUAAAAGAAAAGUACAGGAGACAAGGCCAAGGAGAGGCACUGCUACAUGCAGCAAUAGAGAAAUGCAGAGCUAGAAAUGUCCGC
rnacentral:lncRNA from 1 species